AACGAACGCUGGCGGCAUGCCUAACACAUGCACGUCGAACGAGACCUUCGGGUCUAGUGGCGCACGGGUGCGUAACGCGUGGGAACCUGCCCUUAGGUUAGGAAUAACUCCACGAAAGGGGUGCUAAUACCGGAUAAUGUCUUCGGACCAAAGAUUUAUCGCCUUUGGAUGGGCCAGCGUUGGAUUAGCUAGUUGGGAGGGGAAACGCCUACCAAGGCGACGAUCCAUAGCUGGUCUGAGAGGAUGAUCAGCCACACUGGGAGUGAGACACGGCCCAGACUCCUACGGGAGGCAGCAGUAGGGAAUAUUGGACAAUGGGCGAAAGCCUGAUCCAGCAAUGCCGCGUGAGUGAUGAAGGCCUUAGGGUUGUAAAACUCUGUUACCCGAGAUGAUAAUAACAGUACCGGGAGAAUAAGCGCCGGCUAACUCCGUG
rnacentral:rRNA from 1 species